rnacentral:precursor_RNA from 10 species
CCAACAUGCGGAGAAUAAGCGACGUCUUGGAUCGUAAUUCUGUGACGUGACAAACGGCUUUUGUUGCGUCGCAAAAUUUCGUUCUAAAGAUUUUGUUUGUGCCGAAACUAUCGUCAUUG